rnacentral:rRNA from 1 species
CCUACGAGAGGCUGCAGUAGGGAAUUUUCGUCAAUGGGGGGAACCCUGACCGAGCAACGCCGCGUGAACGAAGACGUUAUUCUUAAUUUAAAGUUCUUUUAACAGGGAAGAAAGAGAAAUUUGACGGUACCUGAAGAAUAAGCUCCGGCAAACUACGUGCCAGCAGCCGCGGUAAUACGUAGGGAGCGAGCGUUAUCCGGAAUUAUUGGGCGUAAAGGGUGCGUAGAUGGCAUAGUAAGUCUUUUGUAAAAAUGCUGGGCUAAACCCAGUAGGGCAAAAGAUACUGCAAAGCUAGAGGAUGACAGCGGCAAGUGGAACUAAAUGUGUAGCGGUAAAAUGCGUAAAUAUAUGUAAGAACACCAGGUGCGAAGGCGGCUUGCUGGGUCGAUACUGACAUUGAGGCACGAAAGCGUGGGGAGCAAACAGGAUUAGAUACCCGAGUAGUC